UCAUAGCCCCGGUAGUAGCGGCAUCCUUUUGUGGCUUUCUUUAGGCCACAAAAGAUAAAGCGAAUGACGGGAAGUGGC
rnacentral:sRNA from 1 species